GGCGGCGGCACAAUCGCUCGACUCAUUUGAUCGGACCCUCGCGCCGACGGACUUGGGGUCUCUAUGGUGCCGUCCGCCCGGGUGUGCGCCGCCAGGAAUCCAGCACGCGACACCUCCGACGGGGUGGGGUGGGGAGUCUGCUGGGACCCCUCCGCCGGAUGUGCGCCACUUUAUCCACUGCCUGACCGGGCGCCUCCCGUUGGGGCAGGCACGUCAUCUUUCUCCAGCGGGGUACUCUUAGCCGGCGGCACAUCAGGCUGUGACGCUUUGGCGAAGUCGAUGGCGCCCUUCCGCUUCAGCAUGUCUAUGUUUGCUACAGCUCCAGCCUUCGCUGACUCGAUCAUCGCCUUCUUAAACUCCGCCGACUGCUUGAAUGCUUCAACGGCGGCGGCCGCGGCUGUACUCCCUUCAGCCCUCAGGCGGGUAACCUCACCCUCCAGCCGCUUCACCUCAGUCAUUCUGGCGGUGGACUCCCGCUGCACAACAAUGAGUUUUUUGUCCUUGGCGGCUAUCCGCUCCUGCAGCAGGGCGAUGUCCUGCUCCAACUUGGAGACAUGUUCAUUCCUCUCCAAGUCCCGCUCGAUGGCUACGUUGAGCUUACCGCGGACGUCGGCAUAGUCACAUUCCCCCUUGGCCAGCCCCCGCUCUACCUCCGCCAGUUGCUCCUUCGCCUCCGCCAACUCCCUCUGGAGACCUUGGAUUUCCUCCCUCAGCUCCCCCUCGACCAGGGGCUGCUUUGAUGCCGCCACGAACAUGUCAUGUAGUCCCGCCGAUAUUUGACCAAACGCCGAGCUGAAGGGCGAUUGGUCAAUUGCCGUGGGGCGCGAGAUACCCGCUAGGCCGCCGAACCCUAGCCGUUCGCAUAGAUGGAAGAGGAACUCCCGCUCACCAUCUGUCAUGAACGCAGCAUACUCGGCGAACGAGUCCAGCUCACUAGCGGCGGGCGCCUCUCCCUCCACCGCAACAGUUUUCGACGGAGCUUGUCGGGCCUUCUUCUGUUAGCGGGCCCCGAUCACCUCCACCCCCUCCCCUCUUCCUCAGAAGGAGAGUCAACUUGCCGACGUUUUCUCUCCAGCGCCCUUUGGUUCCCGGCGGCGGUCCUCGUCGUCCUCACCGGCGGCUCCUCCCUUGGUACAGUGACAGUUUCCGCCGGUUGCACCACCUUCUCCUUUUGGGGGCCACGCCUACUGGCAGGCAUCCGCUCCUUCUGUUGCCCCGCUGCAGCGCUUCCCCUCUCCCCGCCGGCCACUUGGGUCCCCGCCUGCACUACCGGCAGACCAUCCUCACCAAGAUGGGAGUGGUGCGGCAUUGGCAGCACCACCGGAACCUCGGACUGGCUCAGCGCCAGUGUCUCGGGGUUCACCAGCGUCUUCUGGGCCGCCAGCCCCUCGGCGUACAUGGUCUCCAGAAAGUUGUCUAUCUCCGCGCGGUCCAUUGCUUUUUCAAAAGCGUCGCGACUCGAUUUGUUACCAGGCGGGGUUUCUAAAAAAAAAAAAGAAAACCCGUCAGUCCGGAUCACUUGUUACAAAAAAAAAAAAGGUAUGGCGGAGAUUUCUCACCAACGGAGCGAGUUAGCCGCUGUUCGACUAAUAACUCCCAACCGGUCAGAAGUCGGAAGUCCAACAAAUUGCGGUUCCGCCAGCAACCUCUGAUCCUCGCUACGCGACACUCCUCUUCGAGCAUUAGGGUAUACCGCAGUCCCGCUGCACAAACACAGUAAUCGUUAGUAAGAAUACAAGUCUGUAAAUACAUGAACCCGCCAACUACGUUCAGCGGAAACCGGUUACCAACCUCGGAUGGGUUGGAACUCCGACUUAAUCUUAUAUGUCGGCCCUUCCUCGUUCGACCUGGCGUGAUACUCCCAACCCUCUGUGGCGACGCAGAAGGUCCCCCGCCAGUAGGACAUUGAGUCCCUUAGAUUCUCGAUCAGUUUGGGCGCUCCCUGACUGCGGCUCAGGUUCACUUGCCCUCUGCAACCUCGGCGCUUCACGUACACCAGCUCGUAGAAGUGAAGCACUUCCGCCACAGUAGGUCCCUCGCACCCGGACAACCGCCACAGUGAGUUCAUUGCCAACAUCAACCGCCACAUGUUGGGGCAAAUCUGACCGAAGGCAAGGCCAAAUUCGCACACCAGGAUUUGGAGAUUCGGCACCAGCGGAAGUGUCACUCCUUGGCGGAAUAUCGCCUCAUGCACCGCCGCAAAUCCCACUGGGAGAAUCGACGCCUUCUCAUACGCCGUCGGCUGGCGGAGCUUCACCAAGCCAGGCAACCGGAACGUCUGCUUCAUUCGAGUGACAGCGGCGGCAUUCAUCCGCCCUCCUGCCUCGUCGACGGCGGUGCCAUCCUGGAGGAACCACGCUGACUCAGCAUUCUGCCCCGCUGCUUCUUCUUCCCCAGCGGAGCCGCUGGCAGCACUAUUGCUCGCCAAACGCUCGUCGCGCCUAGCUUUGGCAGCAGCGGCCUCACCCGCCCUAGAGCUCUCUGGACGCGGACCACGACCCAUAGCUACUUCCCAAGGUAUGGUCUGUAGCGGCUCAACCUCUAGCGGUUCUGGCAGUGAGGUUCCUGCAUGGGCAGACGGACGCAACGAAUCAAUAAAAAUCCUAUCCGCCGCGCUGAACGACACGUCAGACCCG
rnacentral:lncRNA from 1 species